GAGCAGACAUCAAAGUUGUCUUGGUUGUGACAAUUACUGCUGUUCUCAGUGUGGUUCAUUAGCCUUUUGGCAUUAUGGGUACCAAGAUGGGGAAAGUCCAUCUGUCUGAGAGCCCAGCUGGUGAGGUUGGUGGAGUGCUGCUUCUGAGACUACUAGUUCAAUUCUCACCUCUAUCCAAAGUCCAGAUUUUACAACAGCUGCCAACUCUUGACUCUUUUGAGGGCCUUCUGCAUCCAGUGCUGUGCUGUGGAUGGUGGUGAUGAGAAGAGCCCUUAUAUUGUAUGAGCUUCUGCUCAAGCUUCUCAUUCUUUAUUAAUUUCAUGGUUUUUAGAAAAGAAACUUUAACUUAUUUUAGUGAAAAUUUCUGGAUUGUUAAACAUGAUGAAUUUUAAAGCAGGAAUUGUGUAGUGAUUUUUCUGGUAUUUUUCUCCUGGGUAAGCUUUUAAACAGUCCAGAGAAUAUUUUUGUAUUUGGAUAUACUGAACUCAGUAAGAAAAAUGCAAUCUAAUGUUUUCACACCUGUUGGCUCAGGCUCUCAUCAUGGAGAGGGGGUGGGUGCUAAUUUACACUUCCUUUUUUUUUGUUUUCAUUCAUUUUGCAUUACUUGAAUCUUGUCUAUUGAAUAAUACACACAACUGUACGUAAAUAUUAAAUGAGUAAUUCACAAACAUUUACACUGAAAGCUUUUCCAUGAGCAUCUUGAGAGUUUCUGUCUUCUCCAAACACUUCAGUUCCUUAUGGUUGCACAUUGCAUUUACAGGCUCCAGAUAAAAGCUCUGUUCUCCAGUAGUAUUAGUAAUUCUCAAAACUCACACAGAUUUAGCUGGAAAUCAAGGUAAAAGUAGUCAAAACACUUCUCAAAAGUAGAAGACUGUUCAAGUUUGUGCUGUCUUAUUUGAUUGAAAGAGCACAUUACUUAAAUAACAGCAUGGAUUUAUGUAGGAAGUGAACUACUACUAGUUCAUUUUUAAUUUAAUCUACUGAGUGAGUUAGGAUGUUAUGCAGUGUCAAUCUAAGUCUGUUCUGUGUACUGCAAAGUAAACUCAAGUUCACCUUGAGAAGAACAGAAAAAUAAAAAGUCUUCACAAUCAAAAGCUUCAGUAAAUCUUAGGAUGAAAACAGUAUUUUAGUGCUACUAAUUGGUUUUGGACGAAGGGACAGCAAAGAAAACCAGCUGUGAUUGAGACUUGUAUGCAAAAGCACCUGACAGGAGCCAAACACAUCAGUUUUAUGCCCACUGCAUAACCCUGCAAUGUCAUGUCUUUUGUAGAAUGCACUAAUUUUAAAAAGUAGUGUUUAAAGGACUUCCUAGCCAUCUGCAGGGCUUUUUGAUAAUAGGAAGACAAAUGGGGAACUUUGGAGCAUAGUCUCUUACAAAUAAUUGUUCUGUUGGAGAAUGAAGUACAGGGAGAUGAGAGUUCAUGCCUUAUUUUGAUGGUGAUGUUAGAAACAGUAAGAGAAGUCCUAACACUAUGCUCUGUUUUUGCAGAUGUGUGCUUUUGUGGACCUGAACGAAAAGUGGGGUCAGGAAAUUCUGAGGCCGACAAGCUGUAGCAUUUAUCUGACAACAAGAAAUGAAGAUAGUGAUUGCAAGAUACAUAAAAAUAGAUCUGGCCUGAAUGAUUGGCUCAUAUAUUUGUGUUUGGACUGUCAUAUGCACCUGUACCAAGCUUUGUGUCAUUUAAAAAUAUUUAUAUUUUUUGAAGUAAACCGCAAUGCAUAUUAGCUCAUGUUUCUCAACACUUUGUUGGCCAUGCAGGCAGCUGAGUGUUCUCUCAUCUGUACAAGGUACCGGGCCUGUGUACAGCACUGAGGCUGAGCUACAAGGAUGAUUUCUUUUCAAUAAUCUCACACAGGCCUGCUAAACUUUAGCAAUGUUACUAAUAAUUUUUAGAGAAUUACAGAAACCCCUUCAGUGGCUGAGAAUCUUUUUUGCACAGUAUUCUUAAUAAACAGAGUAUGUAGUAUACAAAAACUCUACAAAAUGCAUGCUUAAGCUAUUAAGCAUGAAAUGCAGGUGUCUGCUGAGGUCCUUGCAACUUUACAAUGCAGUUUAUGUGUGAAGGGUGCAAGGACCAACCCAAGAACUUUCUUUUCUUUGCCUAAAGUCAUAAGCCUAUUGUUUACAAACAUUUGAAGAAAAGACUGUAAGGUGUGUGAUUUGUCUUAGUUACAUUAAUGCAAGCUUCUAGCUUUUAUUUUUUGUAAGAUUUUUCUUUUUUCCUUGGAGGAAGAAUCUCUGCUGAAUUCAGAUCCUAGGUGUUCUGCUGGCUGCUGGCUGUCUUGUGUAAUUUACUACAUAGUGAAUUUAGAGCUCUGAACAGAUCUAGUUGCCUGUCCUUUUUCCUCUGAAAUUGCAGGUCACGCCAAAACAACGGCUGGAACUUCCUACUGAUGUGUUUGUGUAGAAUAACAAUGGAAAAUAUUUUUUUCACUUCUAAAUUUACAAUUAAAACAAUCGUGUGUACUA